rnacentral:tRNA from 1 species
GCCUGGUUGGCCUAGUGGAAAUGGCGCUGCGCGAGGCGGUUCUAAGCCAAGAAAUUGCCUUGAGUAACAUGUUGGCCUGCCCUCAGAGACCCUGGUUCGAAUCCAGGACCGGGUA